rnacentral:rRNA from 1 species
UACAGAGGGUGCGAGCGUUAAUCGGAAUGACUGGGCGUAAAGCGCGCGUAGGCGGUUAUACAAGUUGGGUGUGAAAUCCCUGGGCUCAACCUAGGAAUUGCAUUCAAAACUAUAUAGCUUGAGUGGGGUAGAGGUGAGUGGAAUUUCCGGAGUAGCGGUGAAAUGCGUAGAUACCGGAAGGAACACCAGUGGCGAAGGCGACUCACUGGACCUUAACUGACGCUGAGGCGCGAAAGCGUGGGGAGCAAACAGG